GCAGCAACAAACAUUAAAUCCUCAUUCCACACUGGGUUCAUUGUCCGAGUUUGGAUCAUCUUAGUCUUUAAGACCUGGUUACCUAUCUGUACCCUGACAUAAGCAUCUGGAAACCGAUUCUUGUCAUGAACAACCAGGUCUUGAGCCUCAAUCACAUUAACCCGAACAUACCAUAACCUUGGAGAAUGGUAAACUUUAGAGCGUAU
rnacentral:misc_RNA from 1 species